rnacentral:lncRNA from 1 species
GACUUUCUCAUGCUCUCUUCCCACAAGCCAACAGUUCCAAAGCCGUGAGAUUUCUGCUUCUGCCAACCUAGAGCUGAACGGUGCACCAUCUCAGUGACAGCUUCCUUGCAGGCUGACCUACUUUGACCAAUGACUUUCAGGAUUGUCCUCCUCCAAGCCAACUGCCACAUGUGAACGCUAGCCUGCUGGAAAGGGCACACGGAGAAUAGUGGUGUCAUGAGUGAUAGCCCCAACCAGUGACCAGUUGAGUGAUGGAAGCCACCUUCCACAGGCAAGCCAAUGAACCAAAAAUUUGAGUGAGUUCAGCCUAAAUUGCUUGAAGCAGAGAUGAACCACCAUGGUGAGCCUUGACCAAGUUGUCACCCAUAGAACUGUGAAAAAUUAAGUGAUUCGUGUUUAUUUAUGUGUAAGUGGAGGGAAGCAUGUGCCUGGUGCACAUAGGUAGAGAUAAGAGAACAAUGAACGUUAGUGCUGGUCCUCAGGCACUUUGGGUCUUUCAUUGGCCUAGAACUUUCCAGGCACAUAAGGCUAACCAGCCCAUGAGGCUACCAGGGCUCUGUCUGUCUCCUGUCUCCCAUCCUGCUGAUUCUGGGACCACAGAUGUAUCCCGCUAUACUUGGCUUUUUAUGUGGAUUCUAGGGGCCAGAACUCAUAUCCUCAGAUCUGCAAGGCUUGGUUGACUGAGCCAUAAUCCCAGCGCUGGCUAUAAUGAAUCUUUUGUUUGUUUGUGAGCCCAGCCUGCAAGGGCUGAGCCAUCUCCCAUGCCUUGCUUAUUUCGUGUUUUGUUUUUAGC